ACUGACAUAUUAAUUUCACGUAAAAUCUAAGCGGAUGAAUUGAAAUCAGUUUUUUGCCGUUUUUUCAUGCCUGUAGUAGUAAAUUCUUAUUGGAAAAAAAUAGUUCAUUAGCCAACUUGAUAUUUGUUGUAAAAAAGUUGCAGCGGAUAAUCGAAAGAAGUCAUAGGACGAGCAGUAUCGACAUUCGAAUGUGGAGCUGGCUGGCGAAUACUAAUUCUGGAGAUAAAUCUAAGAAAAAGAAGUAGCAUGAUUGAAAACGGAUAGACGAUUCCAGUCUGGAAGAUAACGAAGAUGGCUGCGAUGAAUACAGUUGAACGGCUCCGGAUGGAAUUUCAUCUUGCCCGGUCCCCCCCAGCCAGGCAAUUACCUGAACCAAUAUGGGUUAUGACCAUUUAUGACAACAAAAAAAGAUCACAUCAGCCUUACAAGGAUUCUACAAAACUCGUCAGCAAGAGAUCCCGGAACUGUUUUUUUUUUGAACAAAUAAGGUUUAAUGACAAUGAACGUGUGCGACGAUGUGACGACAGUGACCA